rnacentral:lncRNA from 9 species
UUUUUUUUUUUUUUUUUUUUUUUUUUUUUUUUUGCCUUUUCUAGGGCUGCUCCCACAGUAUAUGGAGCUUUUAGAGAGAUAACUAAGUUAAAAUGAGAUGAUUAGUGUGGGCCCUGAUGCAGUCUGACUGAUGUCAUAAAAAGAGGAAAUUUGGAUACAGAUCUAUAUACAGAAGGAAGAUCCUGGAAGGUACAGGGAGAAAACUGCCUUCUGCAAGCAAAGAGGAGACAGAGACCUCUGAAGGAACCAGUCCUGCUGGCAACAUGAUGCUGGACCUGCAGCCUAUUGAACUGAGAAAAUAAAUUUGUAUUUCUUCUGAUUUGAUUUCUGGUGCGGUCUCUACCUGGCCUAUGGACAGCUGCUAUGCCUGUACAUGGCCUUUCCUUGGUGACUGUCUAAGGGGGAAGAGAGAGCAAGGUUUCUGAUGUCUCUUCUCCUAAGGACCCUAAUCCAAUUAGGUGGGGCCCAACCCUUAAGACCUCAUUUAGCUUUAGUUGCUUCUUUGGAGGCCCUGUAUCCAAACCCAGCCCCGUGAGUUAGGGGUUCAAUGGAUGAAUUUUAGGGGUACAAACAGACCUUUAGUCCAUAAUAUCUCCAGCUAAAUGCAACAAUGUGAAUGAACUUCAAAAAUGUAAGUGACAUAAACCAGACCAGAAGAAUACAUACUGGUUGAUUCCAUUUACUUAACAAAAAUAGGUAAAACUAAUCCAUGUCACUUGAAGACAAGUUAAUACUUUGGGUUGGGAGACAGUGAUUGGAAUGAAGCACAAAGUAACAGGAAUGUAGGGGGCUGGUAAUGUUGGGUUUAUUGGUCUGGAUGCUGGUUACAUGGGUGUAUUCAGUUUGUGAAAUUUUAAUUUGUUUAUAUUGUAGAUUACACCUUAUUAAUAAUUUUUUAAUGCCCCAAGAUUAUGCUCACUGAGGGAAAAUGAAGGAAACAAAAACAACUAUACACACAAGCACUCGCAAAUAAUGCAUGUACACAUAUAUGUGUGUGUGAUCAUAGAAAAAUGUGCAUAUAUAACAAUAUGUAUUAAGAGUUCCCUUUGUGGCUCAGCAGGUUCAAAACCCAACUAGUAUCCAUGAGGAUGUGCUUUCGAUCUCUGGCCUCACUUAGUGGGUUAAGGAUCCAGCAUUGCCACAAGUUGCAGGGUAGAUCACAGAUAUGGCUUGAAUCUGGCCUGGCUGUGGCUAUGGCAUAGGCUGGCAGCUCCAGCUCUGAUUCAACCCCUAGUCUGGGAACUUCCAUAUGCCACAGGUGUGGCCCUAAAAAAGGAAAAAACAAAAAUGUGUUCAAGUGUCUAGAUACAUGGGUAUAAACAUAUAUAGAUAUAAGAUAAAAGUAUAAAUGUAGGUACAUGAUUUCAAAAAGCUACCUUGGCAUGUAUAUAAUCCAUCUGAAGAACAGUUUCUAUGGUUAACAAUGUUGAAAAAGCCUACGCCAUUGAUCAAUCCUCUUUUGUGAAUUGAAGACAAUGAGGCUCAGAAAUUGGCACCUGAGCCACAUAACUGAACUGGGACCAAGGCUCCUAAACCCUAAGUAAGAUAUCUUCCUACUGAGAGAUAAAGGCUUAGAGCUGCAAAAGGUCUUAAAAGUGAUUAUUCCCAUGCCCAUAAUAACCUCCUGACUAAGGCGUUUUUCAGUCUCUGCUACAACAAUCUCUGCAGAGGAAGCACCUGAGCAGUCAUUCCAUGCGAACUCUGUCCAACAUUCUCCUUUGCUGAGCUGAAAUCUCUACUGCGACUUCCACCACUUCUAAGAGUGGUAUAGAGUAAAAUUUGCAGCUUGGCGGGUAUGCAUUCUCGUGUGUGUGUUUGUGUGUGUAUGUGUGUGUGUACACUUUCUGUAACCAUGUAACCUUGGGCACAUCAGUUAAUAUCUCUCAGUCUGUUUCAUUUUAAAAUGUGAUUAUUAGUAAUAUCCAGAUAGAAGGUAGAGAAUUCAAGGAGAUAGAAAAUAUGUAUUAUACAUGCUUUGGAACAUACUCAGGUAUGGAUUAAUAUUAAUGCCCUUUGCCUUCUCUCUCCCCUGACUUCUCCUACGCUAUAUUUUUGUUUUAAAAAAAUCACUAAAUGACAGCCUCAAAAUAUGUGAAGAUAGCUAUGCUAUGCACCCAUCCCUCAGUCCAUUUUUCCCUACAUGAGUCAGCUGGGAGUUACCUUAUCAGUGAAGAUCCCCUCCUGUGGACACUGAGCAGAGCUCAGGGUAGACACCCAUUCAGGACAUGGCUUUCCUCUCCUUUUUUCUAUGGAGUCAAGAAAAAGAUUUGAUCUCCCUGGCUCUGUAAGACACUAGCAAGGACGAGUUUUCUAGGAGAAAGGGGCCCAGACACAGGACACAAGCCAAUGCUAAUUCUGCUGAUUCUGAUCCACAUUCUCUUCUCAGAAGUUACCAACUUAGGAGUUCCCGUCGUGGCGCAUGGUUAACAAAUCCUACUAGGAGCCAUGAGGUUGCAGGUUCCAUCCCUGGCCUUGAUCAGCGGAUUAAGGAUCCAGCACUGCCGUGAGCUGUGGUGGAUCGCAGACACAGCUCUAAUCCCACAUUGCUGUGGCUCUGGCGUAGGCUGGCGGCUACAGCUCUGAUUAGACACUUAGCCUGGGAACCUCCAUAUGCUGUGGGAGCUGCCCAAGAAAAGACAAUCAAUCAAUCAAUCAAUAAAGUGAAGGUAUUUAAGAUGCUUGUAGCUGCACAGCCAAAAAUCUUAGCAUGUGAUGCCAAAGGGGGCUGGAAAGACUCAAAGGUAGAGUUCAAUGCCUUAGUGAAUUAAGCAUGGUCCAGCAACAGGUCAAGCCUCAGUCUUCCAGGUUUAGACACCUGAGGUAGAGGAACAUAAAACAAUUGUCUGGAACUCUGUAGUCAUAUCCUGGAAGUUCUGGCAAGUGAAUGAUAAGAGAAUACAGAGACACUAACAUGGUUUCUGGUAUCAGAGGACAUUGUCCUGCCAAGCGCCAUUGCUAAAAUGCUCCUGCUGGCCUAGCAGGUUUCUGAACUGCCUGGUUUCUCCUGGGCAGACUUGGAAGCACUGGCUGGAAGGGUUCAGAUCUCCUGCGUUGUUCAUAUGUAUGCUUCCUAGUACUUAGUCAAAGGCAGAGGAACAAAAUCGUGAGGGUGGGGGAACAACAACAAGGAGAUGACAAGACCAAGACCAGGAGACAGAUAGGUGGUGCAACACAAAAACUCUUAGAUUUAGAGAAAGAGACUGAACAGUUUUGCAGUCAAAUGCUGGAGGGUCUGCUAAAUGAUUCAGCAGCAUCCCUCUUACCUUUACCCCAAACCAAACCAUUCACCACAUCCCGUACAGACAGGGUAAGAGCGGACACGGCACUAGACCCUGAGCAAGGUGGGACGAGAAAGAACCCGUUCACUCCAGGAGGUUAAGGUGAGACCAUUAGACCCUGUGGGAACAAAGCGCUUUGGGGAAAGGAAAUGGCCGGGUGGUCAAGAUCUUGGGGAGAUAAAAAUUCUCAGGUGGGCAGUGGAGGGGCGGAGGGUCUUAAGUGGGAUCCAAGGUCACAUCAAAGGCAACAUCACAACCCAGAACACGACUCCCUUCUAACACACUCCCGCCCAGAAGUGUAGUCCACACCAAUUGAUAUUUCAGAUUCUACAUUUUUGUCUGCCCUCAGUUUGCUGUUCUCACUCAAGCCCACUUCUGCUCCCCUUUCCUCUGUAAUCUUCUCCCUACUCAUCAACACAGAUAUCUAACCACUUAAGAGUUUUACCAUGAGUUCCCAUUGAGGCACAGCAGAAACGAACAUGAUUAGUAUCCACGAGGAAGUGGGUUUGAUCCCUGGCCUCCCUCAGUAGGUUAAGAAUCCAGCGUUGCAAUGAGCCGUGGUAUGGAUUGAAGACAUGUGUGGAUCCUGCGCUGCUGUGGCUGAGAUGUAGGCUGGCAGCUGUGGCUCCGAUUCAACCCCUAGCCUGGGAACUUCCAUAUGCCACGGGUAUGGACCUAAAAAGAAAAAGUAAGAGUUUUACUGCAUUAUCCCCAGUCCGACAUCCAGACCUUCCUCUCUGGUGGCUGGGUAAUGAUAAGAGUAGGCAACAAGACACAAUUAAAGGGUAUUCUCGUAUUUACCAAAAUUCUCAAAAUCCUAUAGAUGUCCAACUAUCCCAUAGACAUUUUCAUCUUCACGCCCCUGCCCUCUCAUGCCAUCACUACUGCCACAGACACAAAAUGCCAAGUACCCCUGCCCCACUCUAUCACAUGGCCUAGGUGCUCCUUCCCUGACAGCUCCCUCCCUCAAAACUCAUCUUGAUGUCACGUAAGCACCCCAGAAAUUCUGACUAUCAUCCUAGCCUCUCAAUAGCCCUGCAGAGAUAACUCCUAACUGACUAGGAAUCUCUCCUCAACGACGUGGCUGAGUCUCAUGGUCAACCAGCUGGGGCCAACUUCUGACCCCUUUGCCUAUAGGUUCCAAUUUUAGGCAUAACUUAGAGAAUGAUCAGGCUCCGGGAAAUUGACUUGUAGCAAGACUCAAGUGCCACUCACUCAUGAGUGGGGGAAGGUGAGAGUGUGGCAAUGUCCUGUCAUGGUGCCAGAGUCACUGCCUAUAACAAAUGGCCCUGCCAACUGCCACUGAAAGGCUAUGGCCCAAGGGAUUACGAUUGCCCAUUAUGAGCCAGGCAUGACAUAAUCGUGCACAAUGGGGAGAAACAUCAGGGUAGAAAGGAUAAAAUCAAAGAGAAUGUGUGAAUUGAAUGAAUUUUGCAACCCACCACAAUAUGGUAGCCUUUCAUUUCUAAGAGAACCAGAGUCACACAUUACAGAUAGAGACAGAAAUUGUUAUUAUUUGGCACCCCUUAACUAUUCCCCCUCAUAUAGAGGGAACAAAAUAGGGGGGUGGGGGGAAGCAAUAUACGAAAUGAUCAAAUUUGUCAAGCUGUGGAUAAGUUUAGAGAUUUGCAUCAGAUCUUUCCACUGUUGUAAGCUAAGUGAGGUGGGACAAGUUCCUUACCUUCUCAGGUCUCAGUUUUCUCAUGUGAAAUGGAAGAAAUAUCAGUAGCUACCUCGGAGGGUGGAAUGAGGAUCUAUGGUCCGUGAUCAACAAAUAUCAACCAGCAUUAUAAUGUUGGAGAUUGUUUUCUCAUUGGUUCCACAAACUGAUUAAUCAUUUCUCCUUUUCCAGAAAAAAAAUUUAUUGUUUUUUUAUUUUUACUUACACACAGAUUCUUAAAAUUACAAGUCACAGAUGGUUUUCACUCUCUUAGUGUGGCUCCCUUCAGUCACAUCGAGAAGAAAUUUAGUCUCCCCACUGAGGCUUUUUCCAUGUGGGAAUGCUGUAUAAUGCUCUUUUCCACAUGUGUGCCAGCUCAGUCAGCUUUCAUGUGCCUUAAAUUUGUAUUAUUGCUUCUGGACAUGAGAGGCCUUUCCUACACAACCUUGGCCAUUUGACUAGCCACUGGCAUUUAAAGAAAAUAUUUCUGGUAAUCCCCAUCCUUCUCCCUCUUCCGCCUAAUCAGCACAUCAUGGCAGCAUGGCUAUGGUUAGGACCUCAGCCCCACUCUUUAUUGACCAGUCCACCUGGGUGGGGGGCAGAAAUGAGGGUGGCAGGAAAGAUCAGGACCUGAGACCCUGAAGUUUAAUGUCCUCCUCUAAUAUCUCCUUCCUGCAUGAGGAGGUGGUCCUUUCCAAAGAUAAUAAAGCAAGUAGCUAGUGAAAUUGUGGGACCUCUAGCAAUUCAGGGGAAAGUCAGCCUGGGCAAGGAUGGGCACAAAACCCUGAAAUUUUCUCUAGCAUAAAGACGGCAAAAUCACACACACACACACACACACCACACACACACACACACACACGUAGAACAAAUAAAAGUUGCACAGAGCUGUGCUGUGGGGACUCUGUCACUCCUUGUCUUGUCAAGGAACUGACCUGUUACUUCAGUCCUCAGACAACACCUAAAGCCAUGAACAAUAUUCUGAAAUAUUUCUCUGGUUUCUGUACUUACAGACAUUAAGCCAGCCUUCCCAGGCACAACUUGAUGGACAUAAGAUAACAGAGUCUUCAGUGACCACACAAAGAAGGAAUAUAGUCCUUGCAAAAACAGUUUGGAAAAGUCACUAGACAAAUGGAUAACUGCACCACUCCACAAACAAUACAAGCAAUCCCUAGGGGAUGAGGACAUUGUAACUCCCAUAGCACAGCACUGUAUUCAGAAUAUCCAGUUUUCGAUGAAAAUAUGCAAAUGCAAAGAAAUAAAACUGUAUGGACC